rnacentral:rRNA from 1 species
AUUGAACGCUAGCGGGAUGCUUUACACAUGCAAGUCGAACGAGUGGCGGACGGGUGAGUAAUAUAUCGGAACGUGCCCCGUAGCGGGGGAUAACUACUCGAAAGAGUGGCUAAUAACGCAUACUAUUGGAGCGGCCGAUAUCGGAUUAGCUAGUUGGUGGGGUAAAGGCCCACCAAGGCAACGAUCCGUAGCUGGUUUGAGAGGACGACAAGCCACACUGGGACUGAGACACGGCCCAGACUCCUACGGUAGGCAGCGGUGGAGAAUUUUUGACUAUGGAGGAAACCCUGAUCCAGCCAUCCCGCGUGUAUGAGAAGGCCUUCGGUGUGGAAAGUACUUUUGGCAGUGAAGCGGUAUCUGCAGAAUAAGCACCGGCUAACUACGUGCCAGCCGCCGCGGUAAUUC